rnacentral:rRNA from 1 species
CACGCCGUAAACGAUGAGUACUAGGUGUAGGGGGUAUCGACCCCCCCUGUGCCGCAGUAAACACAAUAAGUACUCCGCCUGGGAAGUACGAUCGCAAGAUUAAAACUCAAAGGAAUUGACGGGGGCCCGCACAAGCAGUGGAGCAUGUGGUUUAAUUCGACGCUACGCGAAGAACCUUACCAGGACUUGACAUGGAAUUUAAAACUCUAGAGAUAGAGCCAUAACAAGUUCACACAGGUGG